GAAAGAUUCAUCGGAAGAGGAUGGGCAUGCGGCGCAUUAGCUAGACGGCGGGGUAACGGCCCACCGUGGCGACGAUGCGUAGGGGUUCUGAGAGGAAGGUCCCCCACACUGGUACUGAGACACGGACCAGACUCCUACGGGAGGCAGCAGUGAGGAAUAUUGGUCAAUGGGAGAGAUCCUGAACCAGCCAAGCCGCGUGAGGGAAGACGGCCCUAUGGGUUGUAAACCUCUUUUGUCGGAGAACAAAACCCGGGACGUGUCCCGGACUGCGUGUAUCCGAAGAAAAAGCAUCGGCUAACUCCGUGCCAGCAGCCGCGGUAAUACGGAGGAUGCGAGCGUUAUCCGGAUUUAUUGGGUUUAAAGGGUGCGUAGGCGGUCCGUUAAGUCAGCGGUAAAAUUGCGGGGCUCAACCCCGUCGAGCCGUUGAAACUGGCAGACUUGAGUUGGCGAGAAGUACGCGGAAUGCGCGGUGUAGCGGUGAAAUGCAUAGAUAUCGCGCAGAACUCCGAUUGCGAAGGCAGCGUACCGGCGCCAGACUGACGCUGAGGCACGAAAGCGUGGGGAUCGAACAGGAUUAGAUACCCUGGUAGUCCACGCAGUAAACGAUGAAUGCUGGUUGUCCGGGUCGAA
rnacentral:rRNA from 1 species